rnacentral:rRNA from 1 species
UUGCACGCUGGCGGCAUGCCUUACACAUGCAAGUCGCACGGCAGCAUGAUCUAGCUUGCUAGAUUGAUGGCGAGUGGCGAACGGGUGAGUAAUACAUCGGAACGUGCCCUGUAGUGGGGGAUAACUAGUCGAAAGAUUAGCUAAUACCGCAUACGACCUGAGGGUGAAAGUGGGGGACCGCAAGGCCUCAUGCUAUAGGAGCGGCCGAUGUCUGAUUAGCUAGUUGGUGAGGUAAAGGCUCACCAAGGCGACGAUCAGUAGCUGGUCUGAGAGGACGAUCAGCCACACUGGGACUGAGACACGGCCCAGACUCCUACGGGAGGCAGCAGUGGGGAAUUUUGGACAAUGGGCGAAAGCCUGAUCCAGCAAUGCCGCGUGUGUGAAGAAGGCCUUCGGGUUGUAAAGCACUUUUGUCCGGAAAGAAAUGGCUCUGGUUAAUACCUGGGGUCGAUGACGGUACCGGAAGAAUAAGGACCGGCUAACUACGUG